rnacentral:rRNA from 1 species
UAUUGGACAAUGUGGGGAACCCUGAUCCAGCCAUGCCGCGUGUGUGAAGAAGGCCUUUUGGUUGUAAAGCACUUUAAGCGAGGAGGAGGCUACCGAGAUUAAUACUCUUGGAUAGUGGACGUUACUCGCAGAAUAAGCACCGGCUAACUCUGUGCCAGCAGCCGCGGUAAUACAGAGGGUGCGAGCGUUAAUCGGAUUUACUGGGCGUAAAGCGUGCGUAGGCGGCUUGUUAAGUCGGAUGUGAAAUCCCCGAGCUUAACUUGGGAAUUGCAUUCGAUACUGGGACGCUAGAGUAUAGGAGAGGGUGGUAGAAUUCCAGGUGUAGCAGUGAAAUGCGUAGAGAUCUGGAGGAAUACCGAUGGCGAAGGCAGCCAUCUGGCCUAAUACUGACGCUGAGGUACGAAAGCAUGGGGAGCAAACAG